rnacentral:piRNA from 1 species
UGUUUAUUGCACGGAGCCAUUGGU